rnacentral:rRNA from 1 species
UCCAGACUCCUACGGGAGGCAGCAGUGGGGGAUAUUGCACAAUGGGGGAAACCCUGAUGCAGCGACGCCGCGUGAGUGAAGAAGUAUUUCGGUAUGUAAAGCUCUAUCAGCAGGGAAGAAAAAAGACGGUACCUGACUAAGAAGCCCCGGCUAACUACGUGCCAGCAGCCGCGGUAAUACGUAGGGGGCAAGCGUUAUCCGGAUUUACUGGGUGUAAAGGGAGCGUAGACGGCAAUACAAGUCGGAAGUGAAAUACCCGGGCUCAACCUGGGAACUGCUUUGGAAACUGUAUGGCUGGAGUGCUGGAGAGGUAAGCGGAAUUCCUAGUGUAGCGGUGAAAUGCGUAGAUAUUAGGAGGAACACCAGUGGCGAAGGCGGCUUACUGGACAGUAACUGACGUUGAGGCUCGAAAGCGUGGGGAGCAAACAGGAUUAGAUACCCCGGUAC